rnacentral:rRNA from 1 species
UACGUCAACAUCCUUAACGAAUGUAAUCACGUUCUAACCUUUUGACCGUAAUACCUCAAUACCGUAAGCAAGCUUUCGUUACCGAGGCAACGUAUCAGAGAUCAGACGGAUAGCCCAAAAGGGUAUUCGUUGCAAUCCUCGAUCUUGUUCAUUACAUCUACCAAAGGCUAUAACACUUCAAUACGAGAUCGAAGCUACAUUCCUCCGGUCAUUUUAUAAUCUUCAAAAUCGAUGUUAACCUACCGAACGAGAAAUUACGCCUAAAGAGCGCAAAUGUUUGAACCCCAAAGGUUUACACUCUUCAAAAUCCAAAAUUCACAACCCAAAUAGGUUGAUUUCCCGUUAGUACGACUGACUUCAAUCGUUUCCCUUUCAACAAUUUCACGUACUGUUUAACUCUCUUUUCAAAGUUCUUUUCAUCUUUCCCUCACGGUACUUGUUCGCUAUCGGUCUCUCGCCAAUAUUUAGCCUUAGGAGAAAUUUACCUCCCAUUUUGAGCUGCAAUCCCAAACAACUUGACUCUUUGAAAGCGUAUCGUAAAGCGAAUCUGAUCAACCGAACGGGAUUCUCACCCUCCGUGAUGCCUUAUCCCAAAGGACUUGGACUGAUCAGAAACACAGAAAACGCCUCUUUAAACUACAACUCGGACUGGUCAAACCAGCCAGAUUUCAAAUUUGAGCUCAUCCCGCUUCACUCGCCGUUACUAGGGGAAUCCUUGUUAGUUUCUUUUCCUCCGCUUAUUGAUAUCG